GACAUUCACUGUUGCAGGAUCUCCCA
rnacentral:piRNA from 1 species